UGAGGAUAUAGCUCGGUUGGUAGAGUGCUUGCCUCGAAUGCACAAAGCCCUGGGUUCAAUCCCCAGCACCACAA
rnacentral:tRNA from 1 species